rnacentral:tRNA from 1 species
GCCUGGGUGGUGGAAUGGUAGACACAGGGGACUUAAAAUCCCUUGCUUGAAAAAGCGUGUGGGUUCGAGUCCCACCCUGGGCACCA